CUUCAGUGUCUCAUGAUUCUUCAGAAAUCAUUCUAAUAUGCUGAUUUGAUAAUGUUUAUUGUGCAGCAAAUCAGAAUAUCAUGUGACAAUCGUGUCAGUGUUGAAAACAGUUGUUCUGCUGAAUAUUUUUUAUACUUUUUGUCAGGAUCCUUGGAAAUGAAAUAUCAAAAGAACCAACCUUGUUCAAUAGAAGUAUUAAUUUUUUUAAACCUUUGAAUGGUAUUGUAGGUAUUUGCCUGAAUCACUGUAACUGUAAACUGAUCAAUAUUCCUUUCAGUGCUCAGGAUCUAUGUUGGAAGGCUCCAAAUAAUACUAAUGGUUACUGACCUGGAAAUGAUCAAAGCAAUUAUGGUUAACAGAAUUAACAGAAGGGAAACAAAUGCAGACCUUGCUGGCCCCUUUGCUGAUGGAAUAACUGUAAAGAUGAGAGAUGGAAGAGAAUCCACAGUACACACUCUACAUAUUUCACAAGUGGGCGACUGAUGGAGGUACAGUAAAAGGUUCAGCCCAGAAUGUAAGUCAGAGAUGAACCAGUACGCUUUCCUGCCUUUUGGACUUUGGAAAUUGCAUUGGAAUGAGAUUCGCCCAAAUGAUCACGAAACUUCUUGUUGUGAAGCUGCUUCAGAUUUUCACUGUGGAAACAUGUAAAGAGACACAGAGAGGAUUGCCGCUUUUCAGCCAAAAGUUCCCAUCACACUGAAGUUUAUGCCAAGAUCUCACAAGGAAAAACAAUAAUGCAAUGCAAAAGUUACGUUAUAUAAUUUUGAAUAAUAUGAAAAUGUUUAAUCAUGAAAACUGAACUAUAUUAGAAUAUUUACUCAAUUAUAAUUCUCUUUUUAAUAUUUCAUUAUUCAUAAAUAUUCAUUAUAUGUUUAUCUUUUACACUUAAUAGAAGUGAGCCAUUAUGUGAUUUAUG